rnacentral:rRNA from 1 species
CGGGGUGAGUAAUGUCUGGGAAACUGCCCGAUGGAGGGGGAUAACUACUGGAAACGGUAGCUAAUAUCGCAUAAUGUCUGCGGACCAAGAGGGGACCUUCGGGCCUCUUGCCAUCGGAUGUGCCCAGAUGGGAUUAGCUAGUAGGUGGGGUAACGGCUCACCUAGGCGACGAUCCCUAGCUGGUCUGAGAGGAUGACCAGCCACACUGGAACUGAGACACGGCCCAG